GUUUCAUUUCUGGCCCCCCUGUUGCCUCUGCGUUCUCCCAUAUUCUCCGCUUUGGUUCUCACGGCUCUGCUGUUCCCUCUGAGAGGGGUCUUCCCUCUCCCCCUCCUCUGGCCUCUCUGGGACUUGCUGGAAACUUGGCAAAGCUUCUGGCUAUCACGCAAUAUUGUGCAGAGUUCCCUGUGCUAUACAGGAGGUCCUUGCUGGUUAUCCAUUUUAUGUAUAGUGGAACCCAGAGGAUCAAAGUGAGACCAUUCAAGACAGAACCCAGGCCAGCGACCGCGCUGCCUAACUCUUCAAAGUAAAGAGUGUGCACAGGUGUCUUGACCCAGCAAUCCCACUGCUGGGCAUACACACCGAGGAAACCAGAAUUGAAAGAGACACAUGUACCCCAAUGUUCAUCGCAGCACUGUUUAUAAUAGCCAGGACAUGGAAACAACCUAGAUGUCCAUCAGCAGAUGAAUGGAUAAGCAAGCUGUG
ensembl:lncRNA